UACGGGGGGAGCAAGCGUUGUUCGGAUUUACUGGGCGUAAAGGGCGCGUAGGCGGCGUGGUAAGUCACUUGUGAAAUCUCCGGGCUUAACUCGGAACGGUCAAGUGAUACUGCUGUGCUAGAGUGCGGAAGGGGCAACUGGAAUUCUCGGUGUAGCGGUGAAAUGCGUAGAUAUCGAGAGGAACACCUGCGGCGAAGGCGGGUUGCUGGGCCGACACUGACGCUGAAGCGCGAAAGCUAGGGGAGCGAACGGG
rnacentral:rRNA from 2 species